rnacentral:rRNA from 1 species
GAUGAACGCUGGCGGCGUGCCUAAUACAUGCAAGUCGAGCGAACAGACGAGGAGCUUGCUCCUCUGACGUUAGCGGCGGACGGGUGAGUAACACGUGGAUAACCUACCUAUAAGACUGGGAUAACUUCGGGAAACCGGAGCUAAUACCGGAUAACAUGUUGAACCGCAUGGUUCAACAGUGAAAGACGGUCUUGCUGUCACUUAUAGAUGGAUCCGCGCCGCAUUAGCUAGUUGGUAAGGUAACGGCUUACCAAGGCAACGAUGCGUAGCCGACCUGAGAGGGUGAUCGGCCACACUGGAACUGAGACACGGUCCAGACUCCUACGGGAGGCAGCAGUAGGGAAUCUUCCGCAAUGGGCGAAAGCCUGACGGAGCAACGCCGCGUGAGUGAAGAAGGUCUUCGGAUCGUAAAACUCUGUUAUUAGGGGAGAACAAAUGUGUAAGUAACUAUGCACGUCUUGACGGUACCUAAUCAGAAAGCCACGGCUAACUACGUG